UUCCUUCCUACCUACCUACCUACCCAUCCACCUACCUUCCUUCCUUCCUACCUUCCUACCUACCUACCUACCUACCUACCUACCUACCUACCUACCUACCUACCUACCUACCUACCUACCUUCCUUCCUUCCUUCCUACCUACCUUCCUUCCUACCUACCUACCCAUCCACCUUCCUUCCUUCCUUCCUACCUACCUACCUACCUGAGAAAAGAAUCCAGAAGCAUCAGGAAGUGUGUAGCAGACAGAGAGGAGAGCUCUGCUCCACUUGACUGUUUCUCUCUCUACACUUAGAAAAGCGAAGAAGAAUUGAAUGGGCCGUGUUCUGUAGUUAGUGGACCUGCCAGGGGGGCAACGACCCCAGUCUCCAUCUGGAGCCUCCAAGAGGACGAGGAAGAGGAGAGGCUGCCGUUCACACCACUGGGCCUGAUGUCUGAGAUGCCCAGGCUGUGUCCCAAAUAGCAUCCCUAUUCCCCAUGUAGUGCCCUGGUUAUAAUUAGUGCCCUAUAGAGGGCAGGGAUCAUCAACUAGAUUCAGCCGCAGGCCGAUUUUCUUCUUGAGCGGAUGGUCAGGGGAGGGCCGCAACAUAAUAACAAAUGAUUUGUAGAUUGCAAAUUGACCGCAAGAACCCCCCGAUUGAUUAUAACACGAUCAUAUUAUAAACCUUGCUUACAUUAGUAUAGAUCAGAUAUAUAUCUCUAUUAUGGGGUGGGUGUACUUUGGAACAGAUUAACCAAAUUAAAACCACUUGGAGCUGAUUUUGCUGGUGUUUUUUUAUACUGUCUAUAAUGUUCAACAAGUAAAACAUAAUUGGAGAACCCUGACGAUACAGGGAAUAAGAUGACAUUUGGAACACAGCCGGGUUAUUGUUUUGGGUCCCAGACAGUCGAUACCCAGAAUGCCGCUGUCCCACCACCCUCUGCUGACAAGCCGGGCUAAUCGACUGACGUUCCUUCCCUGAUGGAAUGCUCCCCACUCGGAUCCGAGAAUUAGGCUAUCUAGAGUCUGACCCUUCACCCUGUUUUAACAUGGCAUACAUUCUGAGGAUUCUAGUCUCUUUUUCAGUCUAUUUAUUUCUACCGAGCCUCCAUGGUAGCUGGUUUCUACCAGGAGCAUCUGAGCGUCUUGUAAAUGGUUGAGUAGUUAUAUACAGAAACACAUCCGUGGAGACAGAGAGCCAUAUCUGCCUUGCAUCUGUCCUUCUAUUUGUUGAUCGUGCUAAAUAACCCCCAGUGUUAUUUUGAAGUGUGCUGUUUUUCCCCCUCCUUGCUUAAGGAUCUCACAUUUCUGAGGUCUGAAUGUCUUUUUACAUGUUUUGUAUGUGUCCCUAAUUUAAACUUCAGCCUGCAUCUAUUGGGAUGGUGACAUGUGUUGAUACCAGUUAGUUCUCUCUCUCUCUCUCUGUGUGUGUGUGUGUCAGAGCAGGAAUCUAAAUUAUUGUUUUUGACUGGAAUGUGAGACGAGUGUUGUAUUCAAACUCUACAGUCCUUCACCAUCUUCAAAUUAUACUUAUUUUCUUCCUUCUCUCACAGUGCAUUUGCUGGUCAUAUGCUCUGUAUCAGAACCAUUUGCUGGUCAUAUGCUCUGUUUCAGAACCAUUUGCUGGUCAUAUGCUCUGUUUCAGAACCAUUUGCUGGUCAUAUGCUCUGUGUCAGAACCAUUUGCUGGUCAUAUGCUCUGUAUCAGAACCAUUUGCUGGUCAUAUGCUCUGUGUCAGAACCAUUUGCUGGUCAUAUGCUCUGUUUCAGAACCAUUUGCUGGUCAUAUGCUCUGUUUCAGAACCAUUUGCUGGUCAUAUGCUCUGUAUCAGAACCAUUUGCUGGUCAUAUGCUCUGUAUCAGAACCAUUUGCUGGUCAUAUGCUCUGUGUCAGAACCAUUUGCUGGUCAUAUGCUCUGUGUCAGAACCAUUUGCUUGUUGAUACCCUUUUCACUAUAAAUUGGACUCUGUUUACAUUAAGUUGUCGUUUUGAACUGAGAAAAGAAGUUAAUAUAUUUUGUAUAUUAUUUCAUUUUUAGUAUUUUAUUGAUGUGAAAAAAAUGAUGCCAAAGAUUUGUUCUAACAUGAGCCUAUAUAAACCAACCCGUAUGGUUUAGUGUAAACACCUCUCUGGUUGAACCCUUUAUGUUGCUGUGGAGAACUUUUCUAUGCCAUUAACAUUUCAAUAAUGGAAUAAAAACAGUAAUAUAUAUCUUUAAAACUUUGUUGUUGUUUCUCUCGUCGAUGGUAGAAUGCCGAAAAGGGAACUUCUGCA
ensembl:lncRNA